UACGGGGGGCAAGCGUUGUUCGGAAUUACUGGGCGUAAAGGGCUCGCAGGCGGCCGACUAAGUCAGACGUGAAAUCCCUUGGCUUAACCAAGGAAUGGCGUCUGAUACUGGACGGCUUGAAUCCGGGAGAGGGAUGUGGAAUUCCAGGUGUAGCGGUGAAUGCGUAGAUAUCUGGAGGAACACCGGUGGCGAAGGCGGCAUC
rnacentral:rRNA from 1 species